GAUGAAGAACGCAGUGAAAUGCGAUAAGUAAUGUGAAUUGCAGAAUUCAGUGAAUCAUCGAAUCUUUGAACGCACAUUGCGCCCGCCAGCAUUCUGGCGGGCAUGCCUGUUCGAGCGUCAUUUCAACCCUCGACCUCCCCUUGGGGAGGUCGGCGUUGGGGACCGGCAGCACACCGCCGGCCCUGAAAUGGAGUGGCGGCCCGUCUGCGGCGACCUCUGCGUAGUAAUACAGCUCGCACCGGAACCCCGACGCGGCCACGCCGUAAAACACCCAACUUCUGAACGUUGACCUCGAAUCAGGUAGGACUACCCGCUGAACUUAAGCAUAUCAAUAAGCGGAGGA
rnacentral:misc_RNA from 1 species